CCGAGAUUGCACCAUUGCACUCCCGCCUGGUGACAGAGUGAGACUCCAUCUUGAAAAAAAAAAAAAUUAUUGGCACAAGUGCACAUAACUCUCAGCUUCCUCAUAUGGUUGUUUAUUCUGCAGGUGUUUUGCUGCUGAUAUUCACAGAACCUCUCUGGUUACGUAUUCUUUUGGUCUGGGUCCACUUUGAAUUCAGUUACUAUUGACUUGUGUGGUAGCUUUUAUAUUAUUUUAUUCAAAUUGUGUGCAUGUAUGUAUUUAAGUUACACAUAAAUUAGAAUAAUGAAAACAGGUGCUUCUUCUUAAGUGCUUGUGUGCUAUAGGUCUCCUAUAGAUAGAUAGGUAGGUGAAUAUUAAAUUCUGUAGGUUGCUGAUUCUCUGUCUGUCUUCUCUGUGACCCUGAGUUGGAAAUAAUUUGACUUUGAAGUACUAACUAGUACACUACAGUUAAACUUCUUGAGGGCACAAACUUCAGUCACUGCUUAUCUUCAGCAUCUAGAAUAGCAGUAUAUAAUCUUCUCUAUAAAUAUUUGUCAAAUGAGAGCUGGAUGCGGUGGCUCACGCCUGUAAUCCCAGCACUUUGGGAGGCGGAAGCGGACGGAUCACCUGAGGUCAGGAGUUUGAGACUAGCCUGACUAACAUGGAGAAACCCCAUCUGUACUAAAAAUACUAAAUUAGGCCAGACGCGGUGGCUCACGCCUAUAAUCCCAGCACUUUGGGAGGCCGAGGUGGGCAGAUCACGAGGUCCGGAGUUCGAGGCCAGCCUGGCCAACAUGGUGAAACCCCGUCUCUACUAAACGUACAAAAAACCCAAAAAACUAAAAACUAAAUUAGCCAGGUGUGGGGCAUGCCUGUAAUCCCAGCUACUCGGGGGGCUGAGGCAGGAGAAUCACUUGAACCCAGGAGGCAGAGGUUGCAGUGAGCCAAGAUCGCACCAUUGCACUCCAGCCUGGGCAACAAGAGUGAAACUCCAUCUCAAAAAAAAAAAAAAAUUGUCAAAUGAAUCAAAUAAAUCCUAAAGGAAAUUAAAAUAAGUAAGGACCUAGUUUUUUUUUAAAAUCAAAUGUCCACACAUCAUGAACAGCUCCAGGUCCAAUACUGGCUCCUUUGCUUAUUAGCAGUGUGACCGUGGGCACGUUACUUACACCCUUUUAUUAGCGGUAAAAUGGGAGCGUUACUCACCUUGUUAGAAUUAUGGAAUAAAAUGAGGUGAUAUAAAUAAAGCUCCUAGCACAAUGCUCUGUUCCUGCAGAAUGUGCAGUCAGCAAGUGUUAGUUCCUUGCUCAUUUCCUUCCCGCUCUGGAUUUUGAUUUUUGGCCUCUCCUUUUGGAAACCUUCAGUGCCUUCUUUAGGGCAUGACCUGAGGCUGGAUCCAGGGAACCACACGGGUGGGUGCCUUCUGAGACUCCCAUCCUGGAAGAGGCCAGCCUUCCUCAGACCUGUUCACAUCUCCGCCACCUUUUGGGUGCAGUGCAGCCCCGGUUUUGUUUUUGAGGCUGCUGAUGAGCUCGUAUUUUACUUUUAUCCCUGUUUCUGAUUUGUAUUCUAAAUCCAUUAAAUUUCUUUUUGCAAGGAUCUGGUGACUGAGCCGGAGUUCAUCUAACAUAGCUCUUUUGUAUUUUGGAACAUUUCCUGAGCAUAUUUUGUUCCAGUUUGUUCCAAGUGCUGGCCUCACAUUUCCUUUGUUGGAGUUGCCACUGCUGUUCUCUGCCAGGUUGACUUCAGAUAAGUGGCAGAGCCACACCCUUGACCGCUGGGUCCGGAUUCAUUGCCUUUUCUUCUGGAUUAAACUGUUGGCCCCUACUCUCUUCUGUGCCGCUAACCUCCCAGAGACACCCGCUCAGAACAGUGUCAAGAUAACAGACAUGGAUAGGAUUUUUCCACUGAAUUUCAAAUUGCCCAAGAAGAGGCUGCAGAGUGCCUGUGAGAAAUGAGCAGAUGGCCAGGCGCGGUGGCUCAUGCCUAGAAUCUCAGCACUGUGGGAGGCUGAGGCAGAUGGAUCACCUGAGGUCAAAAGUUUGAGACCAGCCUGGCCAACAUGGUGAAACCCCAUCUCUACUAAAAAUACAAAAAUUAUCUGGGCGUGGUGGCGUGUGCCUGUAGUCCCAGCUACUCAGGAGACUGAGGCAGGAGAAUCACUUGAACCCGGGAGGCAGAGGUUGCAGUGAGCCGAGAUCGCGCCAUUGCACUCCAGCCUGGCAACAAGAGCGAGACUCUGUCUCAAAAAAAAAAGAAAAAAGAAUGAGCAGCUGCCUGGCGGGCACAGAGGUGAGCCCCCUGCAUCCUGGCCAGGACUCUUCUGCCAGACCAUCACUCCAUGCUGAUAGGAGACCUGGGACCCAUGUGGAGCAGCUGGAAAUGAUAUGGACUGCCACGUAAUGUGACCCUAAAAUAGCUCAAGGAAGUUAUAUGUGGCCAGUCUGCUGUGGUGACACCAUCCUGUGCUCCAGGCCUUUCGGGAACCCACCCCUCUGUUGCUGUCCCUGCUUCCUUCUCGAGCUGCUCCUAGCAGGCAUCCAGGACUUCAGCGUUAAAGAACAGAGGGUUUCAGAGAAAACAUUUGGCUUUGGGGAAGAGAGCUCCAUUCCAGGAACUGCACAUCAGGUGCACUGUCUAGCAUUGUGGAUCUUCUGACUGGUUCCAUUGCAUGCAUCCAUCUGACUGAAGUGUGGAUUAUAGCAAAAGAUCAUUUGCACAUAAAGCUUUUUGGAAAGCAUAAGUAACCAGGUUAAUAAAUACAGUAACAAUGAGAGAGAAGACAGCAGGCCCUCAGUCAUGGCUCCACCAUUUUAUAGCUCUAGAGCCUUGGGCGAGGCAUGGAAUGUCAUGGCCGCAGCGUCCCCUUCUUUAGGAUGAGGGGUUUGGACCUCCGAGUGCUCUCUAGGGCCCCGUCUCCCUCUAACAACUCCAUUUCACUGUCCAGAAAUCUGGUUUUCAGGAUGGUGGCCCCGGGACAUCUCUGACAUCCGCCAGCUGGUGGCCUAACUGCUUCCCACAGGCUCUGUGUCUCAUCUCCACUGCCUGCCCCUGCAUUCGCCUGUCCGUCCUUCCCUCCCUGCCCCUGCGCUGGCUGCCCGCUGCUCCUCGACGUUCUGUUUCCCUGGCCGUUCUUGUGGCCUGUUUCUCACCAUAUUGUUCCCAGAAUCUGGAAUUCAACCCUGAACUCAUCCUAAAGUCAUAUCCAUGUCUGCCAGGUCUUUCUUCCAAAGUCAAUUCCAGUAGAAGCUCUGGUUGUCUUCUUCAGCCAGGUCCCUCCUGCCAUCCCCUUUCUUGUGUCAUGGUGCCACUUUCUGCCCGCUGCCCAGGACCAAGUGUCCGUGUCGAACCUGGUCUCACAGAGUCAGCCCCCGCUCCUGCUCAUAGCCUUGCAUUACGGAGGCUGCAGACCGCUGCUUCUGCUGAUUCAAUGUCAGAGCAAAUCCCUGCAGCGACCUCCUCCCUGGCCUCCUUAACCCUGUGUGCUAACCUACCCUUCUGUCUUGGAAGGGCACUUCCAUCACAGUCCACUCUUAGAUAAAGGCCCAGCCCCUUCGCCGUACCUUUCUCCCACUCAGCCCUGGGCAUGACCCACAGGACCCACCCGCCAACCUCUGUGUGUGACCCUUGGAACCCACCCGCCAGCCUCCAGGCGUGACCCUCAGAACCCACCCGCCAAUCUCUGUGUAUGACCCACAGAACCCACCUGCCAGCCUCUGUGUGUGACCCGCAGAACCCACCUGCCAGCUUCUGGGCAUGAUCCUCGGAACCCACCUGCCAACCUCUGCACGUGACCCACAGAACCUACCCGCCAGCCUCCGUGCGUGAUUCCAAACCCACCUGUCCCUUGCUGGCCUUGCACGCGUUGCCCCUUGUGGAAGCUGUUCUUGCACCUCCCAGAGACCCUGAGCCUGCCCGUCCUUUGGGCACAGCUGCAGACCUGCCCCUCUGUGGGGAUUGCCUGGCCUGGGGUCACGGGGAUUUUCCUGUGGGUCUUUCUGCUGAUGUCACCUCAUUUGCUCCUUUGACGCUUGGCAUUGCCAUUACUGCUCUGUGAUUUCUGUCUGUGCCUUGGCAGUGAGGGCUGACUUCCGGGUUUGGGGCCAGUUGACCAGACUGUGCAGGAAGUUAGGAAAAGGCUUUGAUUCAGUGGCAUGUUUCCCAUUGUGUGCAGAUAGUGGACACUCAAUAGAGCCUCGCUGAGUGAAUUAGUGAAGUUGUCGCACUUUCGCCUUGGCACCCAACGUUACUGCCUUGCUGCCUCACUGAUUAAUUGAAGGCUAUUUUAGCCAAGUAACCUUUAGCCAGACUCAGUCUCUCUCCCCAUGUCCACAGCUGGCCUUCAAGUCUGUUUUUUUUGGGAAGCCCAGUGACAUUGAAGUGGCUGGCACAGUAGGACCCAGGCAGUAGGUUUUACUGAGGGAACGGACAUCCUGUUGCCUUUCUCACUCAGUGAUGACUUGGAUUACCAGCCAGUUGACAACCAACCAUCUUUGUACCCUUCUAACCUCUAUCUCAGCCUUUUGGACCAUUUCUCUUUCCACCUGUUCUCUAUGGAAUGUAGCUCAAACAAAAAUGUUCUGAAGGGAACUUAGUCAUCCCUCUAAACUUGUGAUAGAUAGAGAUUCAUGGACCCACCCUUAUAAAACUGCUUUCUUCUCGGAAGUCUUGCUGCUCUUAUCUGUUCCCCAGUUUGUGGUUUGUCAUCUGAAAAAAAUACAUAGGGCUGUGGGGCUGUGAUUCGGAGCUGUGAUUCAUCAAUAAGACCCACAGGAUUGUCAGCGUUCUUCAGUUAUGUGUUUGUGCCUUCCUCAUGAGCCAGGGAAAGGCUGGGGUUACCACCGGGGCACGGCUUCUGAGGAGGGUGAGAGAAGGAGGCUGUUAUCUUCCUAUGGCAAGUCUGCCAUGUGGACCCAUUCUGUGGAAAUGUACUGUGUCAUUUAUCUUAGUUUUUGUGUUUUUCCUGCAUACACUGCACUGUGUCGUUUAUUUUAGUUUUUGCAUUUUUCUAGAGGCAGGGUCUUGCUCUGUUGUCCGGGCUAGAGUGCAGUGGCACGAUCAUGUUUCACCGCAGCCUUGAAUUCCUGGGCUCAAGUGAUCCUCUCACCUCAGUCUCCCACGUAGCUGGGAUGAAGGCAUGCGCCACCAUGCCUGGCUAAUUAAAAUUUUUUUUUUUGUAGAGACAGGGUCUUGCUAUAUUGCCCAGGCUGGUCUCAAACUCUUGGCCUCAAGGGAUCCUCCUCCCUCGGCCUCCGAAAGUGCUGGGAUUACAGGUGUGAGCCACCAUGCCUGGCCUCACUGUGUAGUUGUGAAUAGCUUAAUAGUUUGCAAUGUGGUGCUUCUCACAGCUCUUCUCUGUAAUGGGAACAUGAAAAAUUACCUGGUACAGUUUUAUGCUUUGUGGUGUGGCUUUUAAUUUUUAUAAACAUGUCUUACUGCUAUUGCCAGGGAUUUAGAUUUUUAAUAAACUUCCAGAUUCAACAGUA